rnacentral:rRNA from 1 species
GACGGAGGGUGCAAGCGUUGUUCGGAUUGACUGGGCGUAAAGGGCGUGUAGGCGGUUGGUCAAGUCGGGUGUGAAAGCCUGAGGCUCAGCCUCAGAAGUGCAUCCGAAACUAGCCAGCUAGAGCGCGAUAGAGGAGGGUGGAAUUCCUGGUGUAGCGGUGAAACGCGUAGAGAUCAGGAGGAACACCGGCGGCGAAGGCGGCCAUCUGGCUCGUUGCUGACGCUGAGACGCGUAAGCGUGGGGAGCACACAGG